UUUCUCAGAGCAUGGACUUAAUUGUUAAUGUAAUGUUGGAUCAUCCUCAUUCAACCGUUUUAUCUUUCUGAUUAUAAAAUAGAUGACUCAAGUAUUUUGAUAUUAAUAAAUAGAUCACAGAAAGAAUGAUAUUUUGCUUUACUAUACCUAGCUAGCUGCUCCCCACUUUUUUGGACACACAGGCCAGUCCUUUUGAAUAAAAGCUGACGAAGUAACUAGCUAGCAUGAAACCACAAGAAGCAGGGUUCGAAGAAUGUGAGGCCCAACUACACAAAACUAUGACCGGUGACAAUUUAGGGACUUGAUAUGUAAAAAAGGUAGCUACAUCUAUAUUAUAAUACCCAUAUACAUCUGUCUGUCUGUCACGCAAAAUGGUAGCUUAGCUGCGCCAAGUAGCGAGACACAUGCAAUGCAGUAUAAAAAGGACGGGCGAACCUGUAACGACUAGUAGCUAGAUAAAAACAAAAAAACAAAAAGAAGCAGAAACAAAUUAGCACACACAAAUACACAACAUAAUCAUACAACAAAACAGUAAUACAAAACAGUAAUACAAAACAAACAGUAAUAUGUACAGAUGCAUACAAAACUACUUAAUAUAAUACAGCAAGGUUUUAGCAAUUGACAUUAAACAGGGUGGAAAUAAAACGUUUACAAAUGCUGCCUAAUAAAUUUUUAGAACCAUUUAAGAUUUUUCAAAAAAGUGGAAAGAUUUGUAAACAACUUUUCAAGCUCCUUCAUAUGAACUUCCUGCAAGGAGCAUGCAGAAUAAUAAAUAUAUAUGCCAGAUGAUAAAAUGAUCUUUUUUUCAUAAGUUAAGAAUUAUUAGACUUUUUGAUAAUUUGUUAAUUUGUCAUUCUAAAUAUAUAUAGCUCUACUGUCAGGAAUCCUGUAGUAAUAUUUUAGCAAUUUUGAAGUGUAGUAUCUCAAUAAAUGUAUACCUAUGAUUGCUACAAUUGUUCGUUUACGGGAUGUAUAUGUAGUGUGUAUAUAUUUAGUCAUUUUCAGUUUAACAUAAACAUGUGAUUUUUCGUCUACUAUAGUGUCAAAAACUGCAAUUUUAGGUGGUACAAAAUUGUCUUCAUGUUAAGUUAAUGUGUUAGUUUUUUGAAGGUUAUAAUUAUUUUUUCUUGACAAUUUAAAAUAAAUUUUAAAAAAUGAUCAUGUGCUUAUAGUAAAGCUAAGGGGGCACGAGGAACAUAUCUAAUUUGUACUGCAAUGGAGCAAAAAAUGUUGCAUGGAGCAACAUUUUUUUGCUCCACAACUUUUGGGACAAAAUAUAUCUGAAUCUGUUUUGUACCUGUGCUCUGGGGACAAAAUUUGAUGAACAUUUUGUUGCAUAGCAAAUGUUGCUCGUGUCACCACCUGCUUCAACAUCCUGGGACAAAAUUAUUGUUAUGACACAUUUGUGCCUUGUGUCCCCAUAUCAUGCAACAAAUAUUUUGCAAAAUCAUUUGAGGCAGUCAAUUACACUAUGUAGUGUAAUUGACCAAUUAAAAUGCAAGAAACAUUGCUUUUCUUGAGUCCAACAUUAGUGAAGAGAGAAAACAGGAGAAAAAGCAAAAAUGCCGGAUGAAAAGACAAAGCUAUCUGAUGAGGAAAAGACAAUUUUAAUUGACUUUUAUAAAACAAAUUCUGCAUUAUGGGAUAGUAAGGAUAUACUUUUGUAGUAUACUACAAAAAUAAUAAUAUCUGGUUAGUUACUUCAACAGCGCAUACAGCUCCAAUAACUUCGAAUAAACUUUACACUUACUUCACAUCUAUACUUUGGGAUGUAGGAACAUUUAAAUCAAAGUUUUUCAUAAGACAAUUCUGCAGCUAAUCAGAAGUGACAUCACAAAAAACAUUUCAUGCGCAUGCUAUGGGACAUGUUGCAUAGCGUGGGAAUGAAAAUAUCCCUCGUGUCCCCUUACCUUAAUGAGCUAUAAGCACAUUUUCAAAUGCAUUCUAAUUAAAAAUUGAUGUCAUUGAUGUAAGAAUAAGUUAAUAUUUGCUCUUUUUGUGUUAAACACCAUCCAAAUUGUUUUAAAGUAAUGUAUGAUACUUGCUGAGAAAAACAAUAGCUACAUAGUAACUAGUGUAGAUAUAUAACUAGUUAUUAAGCUGCAUUUUGUUUUACAUUGGGACUAUUUAGCAAAUUCAGGACUUUAGGAUAUUUGAUCCAUGUUAUUUUCUUCUUUUUAGAUACUGAUUUUCUAGAUUAAGAAAGCACACAAGUUUCAAAAGUGACCAAAAAGUUAUGAUGGUUUUGGUUUCGGCUCAGGUCAUCACUACCUUCACAAAGUGCAGAAAAAAGGUGCAAAUUGAUCUCUUAUUUUAAUUAUUCUUUAAUAAUUCAUGAAAUAUAAUAAAUUUUGUUUCUACACAAAAGCAUCGUUUCUCCUUUGUAAUUGUUAAUAUGCACAGCAUUUUCUUGUUUAUACAUUUUGUUUCCUUUUCGGAAUGUGUGUUUUUACAUUCGUUCUCUAGGAAACUGUAUCACUAACAAAAGCAGUAAACAAAGGGACUCCAACAGUGUGUGUUUCAUGUACUUUUUGUUACAAAGAAAUAAAUUGAGCCACUUCUGUUGCAAAAAAAGCUGGGGGAGAAGGCAUUUGCUAUUUUUUGAUUUGAAAUGUAUGGAAUCAUCCAUAAAGGAUGUUUGAAUCUUUGAGAGUAAGGUGUCUUGAUUGUAUUUUUACUGAUUUCGUUGUCGUCUUUGAAGGGAAGAGUAUUGUACUUUAUUUUGUUUGUUGUGUGUGGAUGUUAUUUCAGAAGCCCUGGUUACAAAGUUUUUCUCUAAUUUAAGAAGCACGAUUAUCAGGAACAAAUACCAAGAAUAUAUUUCCCUGUCAAUAAAUGCCCAGAAUGUAUUCAAGCUUCUUUCCAAUGGGGAAAAAACCUUGUAGCCAUUUGAAAUGAAAAUAAAGUAUACAAUUUUCGAAGUACUCAAAGUUGCUAUUUUUGACAUAUUUAGAAACAGCUGCUUUAGAAUUUUAUGCUCACAACAAGGUAAGCAUUUGCACAAAUCUUGCAUUGAUUUUCAGUCUUUUAUUUUGCAUUGUUUUCUCAGAGAAUUAUUUUUUAAUUUCCAUUGUUUCUCUAGAAAAUAGUUUUAAUCUUUUUUCAGAAAAUUUUUCUUUAAUUUGGCUCUUUCCUCCGAAACUUAUUUUUUAAUUUAGCUUUUUUUCCACAGAGGUUAAAAUUGUCUCUCUUGCUGUUAUAGAAAAUGAUUAAAUCCAUAUUAACUAGAAAUGCAAAUGCUUUAUUGAUGAUACAUUAUAAUCGAGGCUAAACAAAUCUUUGGUAAAAAAUAAUGAUAACUUAUUUUGAAUUUAAAUGAUUUAUUAAUAGUAGAAACAAAUUCAGGUUGAAUGGGGGCUGUUCCCUAUCAACUGGAUUUUCCUCCAUAUCGGGCAACAGUCUUCGAAUGUCAGAUAUAAAAGAUUGCAGAAGUAACAUAUCACUGUGGCAGAAAAACUGCCAAAGACAAUGGUCAAAAGCAAAUGUCUCUGCAGAUUUUUUAAUUUUUUAAAAUUAAAAAAAUAUAUAUUAUCGAAGUGAGCAGUGAGAAGUUUUUUGUCAUUGUGGUGGGAUCUAGGAGUAUGAAAAAUUUGAAUAUAUAAUCAUAAAAAAAGCCUUAUAACUGCUUAUAAUUUGGCAUUUGCUGAAGCAAAAUUUGAAGGCUGGGGCAAAAUUUGAAGAUGUUUUUGAUUUGAAAAAAUUUGAUUUGUACUAACAUUUUUACACUAUAUUAAAUUAAAAUUAUGAUAAUAGAGAAAAGAAAAAUUUAAUGUAAUGACCUCAUUAUUUGCCAAUAAUGGGGUCAUUAUGAUUUCACUUUCAAGUAAGUAACUUUGUGAAAAAAAUCUGAAAAACAUUAAAGACCAGACUGUAACUGAAAGCUAACUUCACAAAUUGUGUAAUCAAAAAGAAAAGGUUUAUUUAUCUUCUUUUUUUACAUAUAUUACUAUAUGUACAAUGAGGAGUAGACCAUGAAAACCAUUAAGUUUUUAGUAGCAAGCGAAACUUAUCUUCACCAAGUAGCACCAUAAUUCUAAAUUCAGAGGAAUAUGCAGUGUAAAUUUGAUGAAGGGUUGUGUAAUUUAACAAGUGUGAGUAAAAUUAGUUGCAGAAUGACAAGCUAUAUUGUGUCAGUGCCUGAAGAUUUUUUUAUAUUUCACAAAAUUGCGGUAUCAAAAAUACCAUGUUCAAGGCAUGAUCAGCGUUUUUUUCAGGAUUUUUUUACUACUGUUAAACAGUAGUAAAAAAAUCACUCUUGAAGUUGGGUUUUAACUCAAUCUUAUAAAAUAAAAAAAUAUUUGAGGUAAAAAAAUGCUUAUUUGAUUCAAUUUUAAAAUUAAAAAUUCUCUAAAAACAGAAAAGUAAAACAUUCAGAUGAGAAAAAGGUUGAAUGAUGGAUAAACACAAAUAAAAACAUCAACAUGUGUACCAAUGUACGGCUUUUUAAAAAGACGCUCCAACUUUGUCUACCAUUGUCUUUAUGCCAUAAACGAACCUAACGGUGGUUGAAGAAACUUAAAGCUUCUCCGGGAGUAAAUUUAUUUUUAAAGAAAAGAGUUUAAGCACAAGGUAUGUUACAGAAGAAUAUUGGUUGUUCGUUACCGUAAUAGUAGUAGUACAAAUCCCUAAUUUAGCUGCACAACUUGUUUUGAUCACAACUAAAGUCAUUCCAAAAAAUAUGCUAGACUAGCUAUGUCCAUUUUUUGUUUUAAAAACACUGUUUUGCAGGAUGUGUAAUCAACAAACAUUCAAAGAAUUUUGUCUUACUUGUUUCCUGUUUAAUUAGCUGUGAAAUUUAUGCAUCAGCAAUAUAGCGCUGUUAUCGAUAUUGGCAGAGAAAACAAAUCAACUAAAUGAUAAAUAUUGCUUAACAUUGCUUAUAGCUAUGUAGCAAAUCAAGUGGCCAUACAGUGAUCAAUUUUUAUUUAGCAAUAAAUUUAUUGUUUUUUAUCUAAUUAUCGCUAAAUAGUUAUCGUUAAUUAUUGCUUGCUAUCAAAUUCCCUGCAAUUAUCACAUAGCUGCAGUCAUCGCAUUUUCCUUCUUUAAAGGUCCUUGUGCUAAUCACAGAUAAAAUUGAUCUUCAUUGUAUAUCAAUGACAAAAUCCAAUUUUGAUGGCAAUUUUCCUCAAAUAAUUAUUUUUAUUCAAAU